AUUCAAAGAGGUUAGAAAAAUAUUUUUGUAUUUUUUGGAUAUCAAAAACUAUUUUAAAUGAAUUAAAAAUGACCAGAAAAGAGAAAAUUACUAAAAAAUGUCAAAUGAUAAAAUAAAAAAUAUUAAAAAUCAUUUUUAGAAAGUAGAAAUUAAAAGGAGAAGAAUGAAAUUGGUCCCAUAAUUUUUGGACCAAUAAUGAGAGAGAUAUGAAUUUUUAAAAUGAAAUGGAAUUAAAAGAAUAAAAUGGAAUUAAAAGAAUAAAAUGA
rnacentral:lncRNA from 1 species